rnacentral:lncRNA from 1 species
CAAGCGGUGGUAAAGAGAGCAUGGGUUUCAAAGUGUGGUGAACCUGGUUCAAAUCCCCACUUCAGCACCUGCUGCAGUAUGAUCUAGAGAAAGUUCUGGAACCUGUUUGUUUCUCAUUGACCUAAGUUACCUGAAAGGGCUGGCACGACGCCAGUGGGCCCUGCUUCUGCUGCUGCUGCCAAUGUCCUUAUGCAAAUGGCCUCCGCCUUGUGCACUUCUGUUCCCAUCUGCAAAACAGGAGCCUUGGCCAGGGCAUUUCUAAGGCCACUUCCCUGUUUAAGCCACUUUAGCUUGAUGGAAGCGUCUCAGGUUUUAUACUCUGGAACAUUUGGAUAUAGCUGGGAAUUUCUCUCCUGGAGGAAGCAGAGGGUGAUGUUUCAGCCAGCAAUCCUGCACCCACAAGAAAGCCUGCCCCUGGUCAGCAGAACAGCAAUCAGAGAAGCUGCUUAUGAAGAUGGAGUGGCCUGUACCACAGAGCAUCGUGACUCUGGCCCGCAUCCCACUGAGCAACCCCAACUCCUCAUGGGAGUUCAUGGAAGCCACGGCCACCCAGCAUUGCCACAGCAAGAAGGCUCAGGAGGUGCAUAACUGAUCUGCAGAUGAACCCAGCACCUACUCAGACCUAGUCUCACUGUUGCCAGGCUAGAGUGCAGUGGCGCGAUCUCAGCUCACUGCAACCUCCGACUCCCUGGUUUUAAGCGAUUCUCCUGCCUCAGCCUCCUGAGUAGCUGGGAUUCCAGACACGCACCACCACGCUCAGGAGGAACCCAAAUGGAAUCAAGGAGUGGAACAUAAAAAUCGGUUUCUUAUGCCUCUGCACUUCACCUUUCUCCUGUUCAUCCCACUCUGCCAUCAUUGCCUGCUUGCCUCCGAAUUGCCCACGACAGUGCAGUCUGGGCACGGAUCACACCUCCCAUGCAGCGGUGGCUUUGUGAUCUGUCCACCUGGGUAAGCUGAACCACACUUCCCAGAAUUCCCUUCCCGUGUGUUUCCGGUUAGAGUGGAGCACAGAGGAGAAACUUGUGGAAGGUUUGGAGGUGGGAAGUGAAGCAGCAGUCAUUUUACAGCUCACACGAAUUGUGGCUUCUCUGCUGGCUCACCUCAGCAGAGGCAGGAACUGACAUGGGGCCGGGUGCAGUGGCUCACGCCUGUAAUCCCAACACUUUGGAGAGGCCAAGGCAGGUGGAUUGCUUGAGACCGGGAGUUCAAGACCAGCCUGGGCAACAUGGCAAAACCCUUCUCUACAAAAAAUACAAACAUUAGCCAGGUGUGGUGGCUCAUGCCUGUAGUCCUAGCUACUUGGGAGGCUGAGUUGGGAGGAUUUGCUUGAGACCAGGAAGGUCAAGGCUGCAGGGAGCUGAGAUUGGGCCAUGACACUCCAGCCUGGGCAACAGAGUGAGACCCUGUCUCAAAAAAACAAAAAAGAACUGACACAGACGGAUGUGUCUGCCUUCAAGGGCUUCCACUUGGGCUUGUCCUCCCUUACUUUAUAUCCGUCUGUCCUUCCCGAUUGUCUGCAGAGCCUGCUUAAGCAGCCCCAGUGCCAGUGACUGUGUAAGGUCAAAUUCCCACAACAAAUCUCUUCAAACAAGUACCUCUUAGUGGUUCUGCUUUUCUGAUGAAACCCUGAUGGGUACACACUCAUUUAUUCAUUCAACCAAAAAAUAUUAACUGAUAAAAAAUACUGAACACUACCAUGCACCAGAUACUAGGUGCUAGGUAGUGAAUAAAACAAAGUUCCUGCCACCAUGGUGUGAGGUGUACUGUCAUAUCCCCAAGAUAUACCCCACUGCUGAAUGAGCGUCUGAGGACCAGGUGCUGGUGCUGACUCCUCUGUUGACACCUGUGUGACUUUGGAUCAGAAUCCUUUAAUCUCUCCACAUCUAGAUUUCUUCAUUAGUAAACUGGGGUGAGCAACCUCCCAAUCUACUUCUCAUAUAAAUGCAGGUGGGGCCGGGCACGGUGGC